AGUACGCCUGAUCUCGUCCGAUCUCGGAAGCUAAGCAGGGUCGGGCCUGGUUAGUACUUGGAUGGGAGACCGCCUGGGAAUACCAGGUGCUGUAAGCU
rnacentral:rRNA from 13 species